GAUGAACGCUGGCGGCGUGCCUAAUACAUGCAAGUCGAGCGAACGGACGAGAAGCUUGCUUCUCUGAUGUUAGCGGCGGACGGGUGAGUAACACGUGGAUAACCUACCUAUAAGACUGGGAUAACUUCGGGAAACCGUAGCUAAUACCGGAUAAUAUUUUGAACCGCAUGGUUCAAAAGUGAAAGACGGUCUUGCUGUUACUUAUAGAUGGAUCCGCGCUGCAUUAGCUAGUUGGUAAGGUAACGGCUUACCAAGGCAACGAUGCAUAGCCGACCUGAGAGGAUGAUCGGCCACACUGGAACUGAGACACGGUCCAGACUCCUACGGGAGGCAGCAGUGGGGAAUCUUCCGCAAUGGGCGAAAGCCUGACGGAGCAACACCGCGUGAGUGAUGAAGGUCUUCGGAUCGUAAAGCUCUGUUAUUAGGAAAGAACAUAAGUAUAAGUAACUGUGCACAUCUUGACGGUACCUAAUCAGAAAGCCACGGCUAACUACGUG
rnacentral:rRNA from 1 species